rnacentral:rRNA from 1 species
GACGAACGCUGGCGGCGUGCCUAAUACAUGCAAGUCGAACGAACCGCGACUAAGUGCUUGCACUAAGUCAAGGUGAGUGGCGAACGGGUGAGUAACACGUGGGUAACCUACCUCAUAGUGGGGGAUAACAGUCGGAAACGACUGCUAAUACCGCAUAGGACAUAGGAUCACAUGAUCCAGUGAGGAAAGGUGGCGCAAGCUAUCGCUAAGAGAUGGACCCGCGGUGCAUUAGCUAGUUGGUAGGGUAAAGGCCUACCAAGGCGAUGAUGCAUAGCCGACCUGAGAGGGUGAUCGGCCACAUUGGGACUGAGACACGGCCCAAACUCCUACGGGAGGCAGCAGUAGGGAAUCUUCCGCAGUGGACGCAAGUCUGACGGAGCAACGCCGCGUGAGUGAAGAAGGUCUUCGGAUCGUAAAGCUCUGUUGUUAGAGAAGAACAGCGCAUAGAGUAACUGCUAUGCGUGUGACGGUAUCUAACCAGAAAGCACGGCUAACUACGUG